rnacentral:misc_RNA from 1 species
UCCGGUUUGUCACCGGCAGUCUCAAUAAAGUGCUCACCUUCACGUGUUAGCAACUAUCGAUAAGGGUUGCGCUCGUUGCGGGACUUAACCCAACAUCUCACGACACGAGCUGACGACAGCCAUGCAGCACCUGUGUGUCCAUUCUCUUGCGAGCACCUCUCCAUCUCUGGAAAGUUUGAACCAUGUCAAGGGUAGGUAAGGUUUUUCGCGUUGCAUCGAAUUAAUCCACAUCAUCCACCGCUUGUGCGGGUCCCCGUCAAUUCCUUUGAGUUUUAAUCUUGCGACCGUACUCCCCAGGCGGUCAACUUCCCGCGUUAGCUACGUUACUAAGACCUAUUAGCCCCAACAACUAGUUGACAUCGUUUAGGGCGUGGACUAC